AUUGAACCCAGGCCCACAGCAGUCAAAGCACUGAGUCCUAACCACUGGACUGUAACUUUUUUUUUAACUGGAGGAAAAUUGCUUUACAGUGUAUGAUCUAGUAACUAGUUUUUAAAGGUAUAAUGAAUUUCUUCUCUAACUCCGUUUAUUAUCGGCAGGUGUGUAAAAUGCUGCUUUUCCUCCCACCAGGCCGCGUGUGUCUCUCAGAGCUGAUUGUAAUUCCUGUAAGAUGCAUUCACUGUGCCAAUUCAGGGAGGAUUCUUAGAGAGGCUCAUGUCACAUGGCGACUUCUACCAAGGAGGGAAAAGAUGGACAGAUUGCGUCCCCACAGUCAGAAACUCCUCCAGAUGUCCCCAAGACACCAACACAGCGAUCCUCUCCCGGGGUCUCUAUUCCUCUGGCCCGUGUGCUUCUCUUGGUGCCAUUUCCAGGGUGUGGUUUCUGUAACUUCGUAA
rnacentral:lncRNA from 1 species